rnacentral:ncRNA from 1 species
GGGACCACCCUCUAAGGCUAAAUACUCUCUAGUGACCGAUAGUGAACAGUACCGUGAGGGAAAGGUGAAAAGCACCCCGGGAGGGGAGUGAAAUAGAACCUGAAACCGUGUGCUUACAAGCUGUGGAAGCAC